ACCAUCCAACUAGUCAAAGCACAAUCUACCAGCAUAGAUGUCGGAUGCUAGUACGACCUUUUGCAGUUUCUUGUGCACAAUCAACCGGUGUGUUUCAGUGAAGACAUGAAGAGACUUCUACAUGGCAAGAUAGACAGAUUGCAUGCACAUUCUCCGGAUAGUGACAAAGUGGCGCGAUAAAUGGUCGAUUGGGUGUUUUUUCUUUAUCCUUUUCCCAUUAGAUGGUUGAACAAGCACCCGAGUCUUGCUUGAUUUAACAGUUUCUUUUGUCCCUCACGUUCGGACUACUUGAUCUGGUGGAGCGCAGUCUGUAUUUCUUUGCCAGUGUUGGCUUUGUAUGAAAAGGAAACCGGUAGUGUUCUCACUAUGAUGGACUUUUCUAUUUAAGGGCCACGGCAGCAUAGGAUAUAA